rnacentral:rRNA from 1 species
UACGUAGGGUGCGAGCGUUGUCCGGAAUUAUUGGGCGUAAAGAGCUCGUAGGCGGUCUGUCUCGUCGGUCGUGAAAACUUGGGGCUUAACCCUGAGCUUGCGGUCGAUACGGGCAUGACUGGAGUUCGGCAGGGGAGACUGGAAUUCCUGGUGUAGCGGUGAAAUGCGCAGAUAUCAGGAGGAACACCGGUGGCGAAGGCGGGUCUCUGGGCCGAUACUGACGCUGAGGAGCGAAAGCGUGGGGAGCGAACAGG